rnacentral:lncRNA from 1 species
GUGAACACAAUUAAAUUACUACCUAAUCAUACCAAUUACAUUUAUAUUGCUUCUCCUGGUAAAUUCUCUCUUUUCUUUUUUCUUUUUCCUUCUUUUCUUCCUAACCCAGUACGCGUGCAACUGUCUGUGACAAAAAGACAAACAGUGAGAAGCUACUUGAAAAGACAAAAUUACAUACAUGUGUUUAAUAUUCUUGUAAAAAUUUGAAUAGCUUCUUUUUCAUAUCCUACUUCGCCCAAGAUGGAUAAUUGAAAUUAUCAAAUUUUUUAUGCAAUAGGGUUCUUUCCAAGCAUAAGUAAUUGCAUGCAUUAGUAUAAGAAAUUCUAAUUCUUGUCAAAUUUAAAGUAAUUUGGAUAAUAAUACAUAAAAUUUCACAUAAAUUUCAUUGAAUAACCUCUGGAGAAAAUUAAAACACAGCUUAAUUUGUCUGCAGAUUAGAAAAUUGGAGUGAGCUGUGUGUGUUUAUUUUUCAAGAGCAUACGUGGGUAGAACACAAAAAAGAAAAUGAAAGAGAGUAACGUAGGGCUAAUGAUGAUGAUGAUAUGGGAUAGUGCCUUGCAUUUUUUUUUUUUUGAAGAGUAAAAAUAUAAAUAAUCUAAUGACAGAUUGCUCAAAAUAGGUUUAACCAGUCGUCGACUAAAGACUAAACACCCACCGGGUCUACAACUUCAUGACAAGCACGUUGAUCAGAGCCCCACCCUUCAGGAAAACGAAAAAAAUAAAAAAGGAAACAAACACCUUACCAUGAUUAUCAUCAUACCCACCAACAAAAGCAAAAGCAAAAGCAAAUCAAUAAAAGAUAAUUUCAGUCAUCAAAACAAUACCCGGGUUUCUAUCUUCUUCUUUCUUCCACCUUAGCUUCUUAUAAUACUUGGUCUUUGGUAUCUUCACACCCAGAGAGAGUAUGGGCAGAACUGGUGUAAAAUUG